AUGGACAUUAAUGAACCAUCAUUGAUGGACGUUGCACAUGACACGAUCAUUUCGACUCAAGGUCCGACGCUAAUAGAAGUUGCUGACUCUCCUAGUUUGAAGGAAAAAGGCAGGGCUUUUUUCGUAGCGAGGGGAACCACUAUGGGCGAGACCCCCCGGCCUCUAUUCUUUUGCAUAGUCCGGGGGCCGGCCGCUGCAGAGCUGUGGGGCAUAGCGGCGCCCUCGCCUGGCGCCAUUCCCGGAUCUAGCAGCAGACGGGCGGGCCGGGCCUGA